rnacentral:rRNA from 1 species
CUUUCUCCGCCGGCGACCGGCGCACGGGUGAGUAACACGUAUGCAACCUGCCCCUGUCAGGGGGACAACCCGCCGAAAGGCGGGCUAAACCCGCGUACGUGCCACCGGGGCAUCCCGGAGGCAGGAAAGGCUUCGGCCGGACAGGGAUGGGCAUGCGGCGCAUUAGGCAGUAGGCGGGGUAACGGCCCACCUAACCGACGAUGCGUAGGGGUUCUGAGAGGAAGGUCCCCCACACUGGUACUGAGACACGGACCAGACUCCUACGGGAGGCAGCAG